rnacentral:Y_RNA from 1 species
GGCUGGUCCGAGUGCAGUGGUGUUUACAACUAAUUGAUCACAACCAGUUACAGAUUCCUUUGUUCCUUCUCCACUCCCACUGCUCCACUUGACCAGCCUUUU